UGGAAUCAAAUUGAAAAAAAUUACUGCCUUUUAUUUGAAAUCGAUGAGAAAAGGAAGUUUAUUUAUCAUAUCCAAAAUAAUUAAAACCAAUUUUCGAGUCUAGCGAUGCUAAAUUCGCAAAAAAAAAAUAUAUUUUUGUUAAUCCGAUAUUACUAAUUAGUGAAGAACUAACCUAAUUCUAGGGACAGGUUGCUAUUUAGUGUUAAAGAAGUGUUAAAGGAUUCUAACAAACUACGCCAAUAAUUCUAAAAGGUAUGUUUUUUACCAAUCAAAUUUUAGUUUUUUAACGAUAUAAAUUAAAUGUCAAAGCCUAGUGAUUAUGCUAAGUUUAAAAUCUAAAAGGUAGAAAGGAAACAAUUAAAUUUGCUAAAAUAUAAGAAUUCAAACUAAUUCAAAUAAGAACAUAUAAAACACAAAUUUUAAAUAAUAAUAUGUGAAAGGUAAACAAAAGUAAUAAUAAAUGUCUACUAAAGAAGAAUAAGGCUUGAAAAGAGGAAAAAAGGCACUAAAUUGCUAUAUGAAAGCACAUGAUGCAUCUAUUGUCGCUUCUCUUAUUUGGACAGAGAUGGAGUCAACCCACGAGACUCCAAAUGCUCUCCCGAGUUCACAUGAGACAGAAAAAGAUAAGGAUUAGAUACAUACUCGAUCUCAUGAGAGAUGCAAAGUGAAUUAGGUGAUAAAACACAUUAAUGUUUUGCAAUUACGUAGAGAAAAAUAAUCAACAAGGAAAAUAGUAAGUACAUUUAUUCAUAAAUAUUAGGCAUAAGCCAAGUAUUACUCAAAAAAAAAGAAAAAAAGGGAAAAAAAGAACGCUUUAAGCAAGUUGUCUAUAAUUGUUAAUAGUCAUGUGGAGUUUUCAUUUGGGGUUGAUGCUAGGUACACCACCCCAUAUGUUAAAAAAAAUACAAAGCAUUACCGUUCUACCUACCAAAUUCACAAGUAGAGCAUCACAUUAUCAAAAUCAAGCAAAACAAACACCAUUUCUGUUCGUGGGAAAGCUGCUAGCAAAGUUGACCCAAAAAAGGGAAGGAUUUUGCACAUUGUAACUUCAAAUUAUUUUUACUAGAACUCCAUCUUGAAGAUGACAAACUCUAGCUGAAGUAAAAAGUUUAACAUUUCAGUCCAUGGCAAAAAGGACUUAACUUUAAAAUUGAUCAAAUGAGACGCCAAUAUGGAAAGAAGGGCUUAGAUAAACUAAUAUGAUGCAAAUAAUAGCAGAAAAUUACAAAUCCAAAUUAGGACAAAUUUCUAAUUCUAAUGCUCAUUAUUUACCCUCAAUAACAAAUAACAACAAGAAGACAAUUCAAAUCAUAUAAACCUCAUAUCACAGGAAAUAACACAAAAACGGAGGAGCAAAAAUUUCACAAGAAACAAAAGAAUAUAGAGAUUAAGAACCGAUUUAAUGAUACAAUAACAAAAGAUACAAAACAGAUGGCACGCUCCAAACAAGAAUAUAAAAGAUUUGGUUAAAUGUUUCCCUCACACAUAAGAAUUUUUAACUAUUUUAAUGUACUUAUAUUACACAUCUGGGCAACUUACCGAAAUCAAUUACCGUAAUAAGACAUCACUGGCAUGAAAAACAUUCAAAAGUGAUAUAAAUGCUCAAGUUCAAACACACCUAUUCUUAUAGAAAAUGGGUAACCGAAGAAUAUAUUCUUGAAAUCAAAAUUUUGUUUCAUGUAUGACACUAUACUGUCCCUUCUUUAAUGAAUACUUAACACAAAAUUAAAACUAAUAUUUGCCUAUUAGGCUAAAAAAAAAGUCCGUGACAGACAUAGAAGGCAUGUGAAUUUCAAAUAUUUUACAAUAACUAGUUUCUAUUUUAAAAAAAAAAAUCCUCUAAUAUAAUUAUAGAUGGAACUGGCACAUUUGUUCAAAAUCACACGAAAUAAAUAAUUUGCGAGUUUGAAGCAAAGAGCCAAUCAGAAUCUGCUUUUUCGUUAAACUUUCACAUGUUAUUUGUCACAUAUGUCACCAAUUUUUACAAAUAACAGCUGCACACAGUAACUUACAAGGCGAGAUGAAACAGUAAUGAACAAGAAAAGGCGGGAUGAUUCACGCAUAAUCUUAGGACUAGAAUAACUCGGGUAUUCACAAAAUCAUACCAGACGAAGGAGAAAGAGGUGCAAGCACAUCAUUUCUACUUAGAACUAUUUUACCAGAAGCAUGGAAUUGAAGCCUUUUUAUAUGAAAAAUGGUGGUAAAUACUACUGUUAAGAGGAAAAAAAAAAAACAUCCAUUGAAUUUUCUUUAGAUCUUAGUACAUUUGAAUGGUUAUCAUGCCCAAUAUAUAUGCUUUAAAAGCUAAGGCAGUAGAUAAUUCAAACCGAAUUUAUUUUAUCAAGAGCGACACUGACUUUCAAAAAUAAACACACAACUACAACCAUUUGAAUACAAGAGCACUCCACAUAUGACUAGAUAUUAUGCAACCUCUCUUCAUACCAUAGACAGUAAUAAAAUCGCUUCAGACGACAUAAAUAAGUGCAAGCAGAUAACUAACAAACAUGGAUGGAAAAACAUAGACUUUCAUAAUCAUCUGGUAAAGUAACUCCUUAGUUCUGCAACCAUUCGAGGCAAGAAACGAGUCUAAAAAGUAAAAAAAUGUCCAGAUAGAAACGAAAUCAUAUUUGAAUUAUUUAAAUGAUUUUAUAUGUAUGAACACGUCAUGAAUGCCAAAAAAUAAUAUAUGAGCUAUUUUAGGAAUCUAAGAAAAAAAGGAAGAAAGACUCGACCAAUGUAGGUUUGCGAACAUAACAAAACCUCAAUUCGAUCAUAUCAAGUAAGCAAAGAGAGAGAUCAAAAUAACUAAUUCAGGCCAACUAUAGUAAUACAACUUCUAUGCUCUUGAACUACAUCGCAUUCAGACAGUCAAAUCGAACUUCAUUUUUCCUUUUGUAUCAAACUUGGGAUUCUAUACUAACUCUAACAAACAAGACAGAGAGAGACAAACCCUUGAAAAACUUAGCUUUGUUUCACGUGAAGCAGAAAUCUAAGCAAAAAUAAUACCAUGGAGAAUUCUUAACAAGUCACCUUCUGCAUUUUAUGUAAAAAGUGCUAAUAUAAAUCACAAGGUUGAUUAUAUAUACCUUAUAGAAACUUAACAGAAUAAUAUACGGACCACCUAACAGGAAAUCAUAACUGGAAACACGUGGGAAAACAAAAAGAAGUAUGAACCAAAAAGAUACAAAACAUACAAUAUAAACUAAAAUGAACGAGGGCUAGUUUUGUCUCAUGCUUUAUGCCCAAAAUCGACUAGUUAACAUUCCAACUAGAACACGAUAAACGAUUUUGUUCCAAGUUUGCAUUCAUAACCAGCCAACAAAACGAUCAACUCCAAUUCAUUUCAUAUUUAUGUUCACAAUUAGCCAAACGAGAAAAACAAACACAAACAAUCAGAAAAUUAUCAAAAACCAAACGCAAUGUAAUUAGACAGGAUAGGAUUUACUGUUACAGGUGUUCACGAAACCACCUCCGACAUAUCAAAACCUAAGAAAAUAAAAGAAAUUCGAAAAUAGGAACGACAAACAGUUAUACGCACAUGUCCACAGAACCACAUAUUCACAUACAAAAUAACUUUUGAAAUUAAAAUUAUAUUUUUGUCCACAAGACCAAAAACAACAACAACAACAACAAAAACUCGAAAUCAAGGUGUCCCAUUGAUAGGUGGUCUACGGCUGACCCUCUGGCCAAAGAAAUUUAGAAAAGAGAUGAAGAAGAAGUAACAAGAGAGAUUGGGGCAAUUUUCUCCUCCCUUUCUGAAAGCUAACAUUACAAUUUAAAGGAAAAAUGUAAACUACUUCUAAUAAAAUAACUGCAAAUGAAACGUGGCCUAAUAACCGUAAAUGGAAACGUGGGCAUCCCCAUUAUCUCCUUUAUUUCCGCACAACUACUUCUAAGACUAUUUCAAAGAAAGAGCACAACUACUUCUAAGACUAUUUUAAAGAAAGAAAUCCACCACCCAUUAGUUAGCAUCAUAACAAUCCACCCCACUUGAAAUCACCUUGUCCUCAAGGUGAAACUGAGGGUAAGUACGGGAAAAACGCCAUUUAUCUUCCCAUGUUGCAUCUUCCCUUGAUUGACCAACCCAUUUAACCAAAAUCUCUGUUUUUGGCCUAUAUUUCCCUUUCUGAACGACUCGUUCUUCCAAGAUACCCUCUGGUUGAGGUGCCACCUGUAACUGGACAGGUUCGUUGACAGGAGGUGGGAUCGGUUCCGGGACAGGGCCUUCUCUUUUCCGUAACAAACUCACAUGAAACACAUCGUGAAUUAAGGAACCAGGAGGUAAUUCAAUCCGAUAUGCAACCUUUCCUACCUUAGCAAGAAUUUUGUAAGGGCCAAAAAAACGCGGACUUAACUUAGCUGAUGUUCGGGAGACCACACUUGACUGUCUAUAUGGCUGUAGUUUAACAUAAACAUGAUCCCCUACCUCAAAUUCCAAUUCACGACGGCGUUGGUCCGCAAAAUGCUUCAUACGGUCUUGAGCUUUGAAGAGGUUGGCUCGUAAGGUUUUCAGCAUCCGAUCACGGUCUUGAAGGUAGUCUUCGACAGCUUGAACCUUAGUCGUUCCUGGAACAUACGGCAAGAUUUUUGGAGGCAGCCGUCCAUAAACAACCUGAAAAGGAAUCAGCUUGGUGGAAGUGUGAACUGAAGUAUUAUAGCUAUAUUCCGCCCACGGUAGCCAAUCCACCCAUUUUUUUGGCUUGUCACAAACAAAACAACGCAAGUAUUGUUCCAGAAUCCGAUUGACAACUUCUGUUUGUCCAUCCGUCUGCGGAUGAUAGCUAGAACUCAUGCAUAAAACCGACCCUUGCAGCUUGAAUAGAGCUUGCCAAAAGGAACUUAUGAAAAUUUUAUCACGAUCACUUACAAUGGUUGAAGGGAUACCAUGCAAGCGGACAACGUUGGCUACAAAAUCCCGAGCUACACUUGAAGCAGUAAAUGGGUGCCGCAUAGGAACAAAGUGGGCAUAUUUUGAGAGUCGAUCUACAAUCACCAUUAUCACUGUAAACCCGUUAGACGCAGGUAAUCCUUCCACGAAAUCCAUGCUAAUGUCCUCCCAAAUUCUGUCUGGAACCGGAAGUGGCUGCAACAACCCAGCAGGCUGCAUGGUGUCCGUCUUGGCUCGUUGACACUCAUGACAUUCCCGGAUAUAUCUUUUCACAAAAUCUUUCAUACCCAACCACCAAAAAUUGUGCUUCACCUUAGCAAGAGUUUUAUGAAAACCAAAAUGGCCUCCUUCGGGAGAGGAGUGACACAUAACCAGCACAGUGGAUAGAAGAGGAGAAUUGGAGCUUAACAAUAUAGCAUCAUUUCUAAACCAAACUCCAUCAUGCUUCACAAGGUUACCUUUAAAUUUAAUAGGCAAGGAUGAAGGUAAAUUCAAAUAAAAAGGGUCUGUGUGUACCUCUUCUUGAAUGGUGGUCCAAAUGGUGGAACAAGGAUGUGAAACAUUUAGAUAAUGAAACUCGGGCGUACGAGAGAGGGCAUCUGCGCCUUGGUUCAAACUUCCCUUCUUAUAUUCAAUUUUGUAGUCAAAUCCCAAAAGCUUGGGUAGCCAUCGGGACUGAACUGGGGUAGUGAUUCGUUGCUCCAUUAAAUACUUGAGACUGACAUGGUCUGUUUUCACCACAAAAGGUCGCCCCAGUAAAUAGUGUCGCCAUUUCCGAACUGCCUUUACAAUAGCUAACAUCUCCUUCUCAUAUGUAGACCAAGAUAACAUGAUUCCCUUUAAAGGAGCACUGAAAUAAGCCAAGGGUCUUCCACGUUGAGUGAGAAUAGCUCCUAUACCCACCCCACUCGCAUCACACUCCACAGUAAAUGGGUGAGACCAAUCGGGCAAAGCCAAAGUAGGAGGGGUUGUCAGGGCAAUCUUCAACUCCUGGAAAGCCACUUCUGCCUUUUCAUUCCAAAUAAAAGGGCCUUUGCCAACUAGUUUAUGCAAGGGGGCAGCAAUACUUCCAAAUCCCUUGAUAAACUUUCGAUAAUAACCCGCCAACCCCAAGAAACCGCGUACCCCUUUUGCGUUAGUUGGAGUAGGCCAUGAAAGUACAGCCUUAACUUUAUUUUCUUCAACCGCCACACCUCCCGAUGAUAUGACAUGCCCCAAAUAAUUAACUUGAGAAACUCCAAAACAACAUUUUGAGAGCUUGGCAAAAAGUUGAUUAGUAUUUAAUAAUCCCAAAGCAGUACGUAAAUGCCCAAGAUGAUCAUUCAAGGUCUUUGAAUAAAUAAGAAUAUCAUCAAAGAAUACCAAUAUAAACUUACGCAGGUAUGGCCUGAAAAUGUCAUUCAUUAAGCAUUGAAAGGUGGCUGGAGCAUUGGUGAGGCCAAAAGGCAUAACAACGAACUCAUAAUGUCCGUCAUGCGUUCGGAAUGCUGUCUUUGGAAUAUCAGUUUCCCGAACCCGUAUUUGGUGAUAACCAGCACGAAGGUCAAGCUUAGAAAAGAUCGUAGCACCAUAUAGUUCAUCGAGUAGCUCGUCUAUUACUGGAAUUGGGUACUUGUCCUUCACAGUGAUGUCAUUGAGAGCCCUAUAGUCCACGCAAAAACGCCAAGUGCUGUCAGAUUUCUUCACUAACAAGACCGGCGAUGAGAACGGGCUAUGGCUGGGGCGAAUUAACCCAUCACGCAGUAACCCCCUAACUUGUUUUUCAAUUUCCGUCUUUUGCAAAUAAGGUUGGCGAUAUGGCCGAGAGCUCACUGGUUUGGCUCCGGGAAUUAAGGGUAUGUCAUGGUCAUGGAAACGCCUUGGGGGCAAUUCUUUUGGCUCUUGAAAGACCUGCUCAUAUUCAGUUAAAACAUGUUGAACGGCUGGACAAGGACUUGAGGUAGAAGAAAGCUCCGAUUCGACCCGAUUAACCUGGAGAAGUAAGGCAAUACCCUGUAUUCCCAUCAACUCGUUAGCCUUUAAAGCAGUCAAAUCCGACCCCCGCAACCCUUGUAACUUAUGUGUUGAACCAGCCUGAUGGAAUCCAAGAGUGAGAUUCUGGAAGUCGAUUUCAAUAGGCCCCAAAGUCUUCAACCACUGAACGCCUAAGACAAUAGGACAAGCUGCGAUUGGCAGAACAAAAAAAUCGGUGGUUAUAGUGUAACCUUGAAUAAUGAUUGUAAGUCCGCGCACUCGUCCCACACAAGCUAACUUGUCACGGUUUGCGACGACCACUUCCAAUUUGACCCCAUUAUCCACCGUCAAUCCGAACCGCUCCACUAACGAUUGCUCGAUGAAAUUGUGGGUACUACCACCAUCAAUUAAGACCACCAAAUCUUUGUUAUGAAUUUUUCCAGGCAACCUUAAGGUUUGGGGAAGGAUGGUGCCGGUAAUUGCGUGGAAAGAAAUCUCAGCGGAAACCUCAUCAGGAGGGUUCUCAUUGGCUUCAUCCUCAUGGCUGCUGCUCUCUUCAACGUCAUCGACUUCACUGAUCAUGAAUAAUUGGGGCUUGGUGCACUUAUGACCCGGAAUGUAGCGUUCAUCACAGUAGUAACACAACCCCUUUUCCCGACGUUCUUUAGCCUCUGCUCCUGAUAAACGGCGAACUGGACUUGGGGCAGGUAAAGCUAGGCGUUGAGAUGGUGCUGGGCCUAAAAUUCCAGCAGAGUGUGGGCGUAAAAAGUGCUAAUAUAAAUCACAAGGUUGAUUAUAUAUACCUUAUAGAAACUUAACAGAAUAAUAUACGGACCACCUAACAGGAAAUCAUAACUGGAAACACGUGGGAAAACAAAAAGAAGUAUGAACCAAAAAGAUACAAAACAUACAAUAUAAACUAAAAUGAACGAGGGCUAGUUUUGUCUCAUGCUUUAUGCCCAAAAUCGACUAGUUAACAUUCCAACUAGAACACGAUAAACGAUUUUGUUCCAAGUUUGCAUUCAUAACCAGCCAACAAAACGAUCAACUCCAAUUCAUUUCAUAUUUAUGUUCACAAUUAGCCAAACGAGAAAAACAAACACAAACAAUCAGAAAAUUAUCAAAAACCAAACGCAAUGUAAUUAGACAGGAUAGGAUUUACUGUUACAGGUGUUCACGAAACCACCUCCGACAUAUCAAAACCUAAGAAAAUAAAAGAAAUUCGAAAAUAGGAACGACAAACAGUUAUACGCACAUGUCCACAGAACCACAUAUUCACAUACAAAAUAACUUUUGAAAUUAAAAUUAUAUUUUUGUCCACAAGACCAAAAACAACAACAACAACAACAAAAACUCGAAAUCAAGGUGUCCCAU
rnacentral:lncRNA from 1 species